UAGUCAAGGCUGACUUGCUG
rnacentral:miRNA from 1 species